UACGAGGGGGGCAAGCGUUGUUCGGAAUUAUUGGGCGUAAAGGGUGCGUAGGCGGUGCGGUAAGUCUGUUGUGGAAUCUCCGGGCUCAACUCGGAGUCUGCAUCAGAAACUGCCGUGCUGGAGUGUGGGAGAGGUGAGUGGAAUUCCCGGUGUAGCGGUGAAAUGCGUAGAGAUCGGGAGGAACACCUGCGGCGAAAGCGGCUCACUGGACCAUAACUGACGCUGAUGCACGAAAGCUAGGGGAGCAAACAGG
rnacentral:rRNA from 1 species